CACUUCGGGUAGUGCGUUCGGGCAGUGAGUUGUUCCGUGUGCGUAAAGACGUGCGUGAUAAUAUAAUAGUGACACGCGUGUUCGCGUUUCGCGAGAGACACCGGUUCCUGAAUUGGACAAAAGCAAGAAUAAAAUCUGAAUCACUUGUGAUCGAACAGUUUCGAAUCAUUAUCGCGGAUAUUGUUGAUCACGGUGAUACGCUCGUAGAAGAUCCCGAGCUUUGAACCGCGUAUCCUCGAUAAUCGGUAACUCGAUUCUCGAUAACAGAAUUAUUAGCGUUAAUUAUCGGUUAACUCGCGAUGUACGACGUACUGUGCGAAUUGUCACUCGUGUAUCUCGCACGAGAAGUCUCGGAGGACGAUGUUUGAACGAUUGAGAAAAGACGACUCUGUUUCGCGCCAUUUCGUUACGUGAUCAGUGCGUACGCCAUUAGCGUCGCGAUUAUAUCGCAGUGAUAUUUCAUUAUUCGACGUGCGACACGCGAACUGGAUACAUCUCCGACGAUUGUGACGAGGACAGGAACGAGAAGAUUCAGAUAAAAACGUGAGUUAUUUUUCUGAUGUAAGAAAAACGCGCGUGUACACGCACGAUUGUUGACAUUCCUUCGACGACAAGGUAUACGCAAUUGAAACGUGUUUUUGUGUUUGUACGUUGACUGUAUCUUGAAUAUGUGCGUUACGGCGGGAUUCUCGUGUUCCCUCGUAUUCGUGCGCGUCUACAAUUGACUUUUGUGCAUCCUGUGCUUCGUCGUGGGACAACAUGGCACGAAGGAGCCACCGCCAAUUAUGCGCGCUGUUCUUCCUCCUCCUCUUCGCGGACAUCUUAAAAGGUGGAAAUGGCGAUAUUGAGGAUUCGGAUACUGACGUACAGGACUACAGCACGGACGAGGACUACAACGAUGUUUUCGACUCGACCAGUAACGGGUGAGUGUUAUAUAUCUAUCUACAACCCCUAUUCUCUUAUCGUCUUAUCGCGGGAUUAAAUGCAGAACAUAUAUCCGUCUAACUAGCACCGUGCUUAAUUAGCAAUUAAAAUUGCUAUCGAUCGCGUCCAUCAACGAUGACCGAAGACUUCCUACCUGUAUCCGGGCGAAAUUGCCGAGACAAGCAAGAAACCGACCCUUUUUAAUUGCGUUACACUUUCACAUACACAUACUAUCGCAUUCUUUUUUGUGAGGACUUAAAAACAAAGGACGAAAUGAGAAUACUUCGUUGAAUCGCGUCAAAGUAUCUGUUCGGAUAAUUGGCUUAUCCUGAUCGAGUAGAACGCGAUUAGCAAUAUUAACGGAUUCUGAUUCAUAUAUACAUUUCAUUAUAAUUAAUUAUCAUAUCGUUAGUUAUACUUAUUUUUUAUUAUUAUUCAACAAAACAAAAUUUAUAUGUAUAUUUCCUGCGUGAGAGAUGGAAGAAAAUACAUCCUAAUAAAAAUAUAAAAAAUACAACAAUUUUGCUUAAAUGGAAAAUUUUUUUCCAGAAAAAUGUUUUAAUAUCGAAAUUAAAAAAAAAAAAAAAA